GACGAACGCUGGCGGCGUGCUUAACACAUGCAAGUCGAACGGAAAGGCCCUGCUUUUGUGGGGUGCUCGAGUGGCGAACGGGUGAGUAACACGUGAGUAACCUGCCCUUGACUUGGGGAUAACUUCAGGAAACUGGGGCUAAUACGGGAUAGGAGCUCCUGCUGCAUGGUGGGGGUUGGAAAGUUUCGGCGGUUGGGGAUGGACUCGCGGCUUAUCAGCUUGUUGGUGGGGUAGUGGCUUACGAAGGCUUUGACAGGUAGCCGGCGCGAGAGGGUGACCGGCCACAUUGGGACUGAGAUACGGCCCAGACUCCCACGGGAGGCAGCAGUGGGGAAUAUUGUACAAUGGGCGGAAGCCUGAUGCAGCAACGCCGCGUGCGGGAUGACGGCCUUCGGGUUGUAAACCGCUUUCGCCUGUGACGAAGCGUGAGUGACGGUAAUGGGUAAAGAAGCACCGGCUAACUACGUG
rnacentral:rRNA from 1 species